AAUAAAUAUAGUUUUACACUAUUCACGUUUAACGUUUGAUCGUUCGUCUUAUUUGAAAAUUUUUUAUAAUUAGUAUUUUUAUUACUAUUAGAUGAUAAAACAUGAAUGGUACUUUAUGUGUGUCUAAAUAUUUUUAAAUUUUUCACAAAUUUUUUAAAUAAGACAGAUGGUCAAACAUUAGAUACGGAUAUCCCACAAUUAUA
rfam:Oryza sativa Japonica Group DNA, chromosome 10, cultivar: Nipponbare, complete sequence.